rnacentral:lncRNA from 1 species
UCUAUCUCAGAGUUGGAUAAGGUAGCAUGAGCAGGUGCAACAUCUGCAGUGGACAUACCAGGCCACCACACUGAUUAAUCUAGUUUAGUGCCACUCCAGAAGGAGCAACUAAUCUAAUUUUCACAGUGGCAGAAUUCUGCUAAGGGCGCCAAGGCCUAAAUCUUCUGAGACAUGAUAGGAUGGGUUUACUUCUGCCCAGGAACUUCUUGCAAAACAGAUGAUGUUUAACAAACAUAUGAUCAGUAAAUUAGCAUUCGGCCUGCUUGAGUCUAGUGUUUUAAGAUCUAGCUGGGACACCUAUGUUCACCCAUUGACCUGCUGACCUAUCAGUUUUUACCAGUUGGGGGAACCUUAAAACCAAAAUUAUUAUAAAAUUGUCUGUUUUGAAUGUCUUUUUUCUGAUCCAGUGGGCCAACUGCUUGAUGACCAGUUCACAGGAAUAGCUGUUUUGAAUGUUUUUUUAUAGUGAAAAGCCUAAACUAAUCUUCUUAGCCAUAUUAUGGGUUUCGCAGAAAUUAUGGUCAAGUAUUUCUACAUAGGUUUCUCAAGUAUCAAUGCCACCAUGACUCAUCUAUGAAACAUGCCCCAAAAAUUAUUAUAAAAUUGUUUGUUUUGACNNNNNNNNNNNNNNNNNNNNAGGUUUCUCAAGUAUCAAUGCCACCAUGACUCAUCUAUGAAACAUGCCCCAAAAAUUAUUAUAAAAUUGUUUGUUUUGACUGUCUUCUCUCCGAACCAGUGGGUCAACUGCUUGUUGACCAGUUCAUGGGAAUAGCUGUUUUGAAUGUUUUUUUAUAGUGAAAAGCCUAAACUAAUCUUCUUAGCCAUAUUACGGGUUUCACAGAAAUUAUGGUCAAGUAUUUCUACAUAGGUUUCUUAAGUAUUAAUGCCACCAUGAGUCAUCUAUGAAACAUGCCCCAAACCUGUGCAUUCCAUUAUUUCUCUAUAAAUUUAUCAGUUCCAGCCAUCUUCCUCUCUUACUGUCUUUCUCCCAUUCUCAGCCUCUCCACUUUUUUUCUUGCAGGUACCAUCUAUCCCUCUAUUUCACAUCCGCAACAACCUCUCUGUUAUCUCUCACGUGCCUGCUCUCUCUCCUGGCUUGCAAAUUCCAUGGCCAAGAGUCAACCUAUUUGAAUCGUUGAACGAAUAUCGACCAUAAAAAAGGGGGCUGGCUCAGGUUGAAUUUAAACAAUGUGACAUGACUAACUGAAAACUUAAUAAACACAAGUUGUCAUCUUAGAACUAAGAAUUCCCAUGUGUCAAUUGACAUGUAGCAAAACAUUGCUCUCCAAUUUGAAGUGUUUCAAUUAAUAGGUAGAUUAAAGGAUUACCAACUCCGGAUUCAUAAUAUUGUCAAUUGAAACUUAAAUUAAUGAUGCAAGAACAAAAAGCCUUCGCCAUAGCUUUUCAUUGCUUCGUAAGUCUUUAUACUUAUCCUUAAGGACAGAAUUAUGAUCAGCACAUGAAAUAAUAAAACAUUAGUUAUCACUUUAACUCAUUAUAGAAAGUGAAUUUAAUGGAUAAAUGGUUCACUUAAAUUUAAAGGAACUAGUCUGAAAC